UACGUAGGGCGCAAGCGUUAUCCGGAAUUAUUUGGGCGUAAAGAGCUCGUAGGCGGCUUGUCGCGUCGUGUGUGAAAUCUCAGGCUCAACUCUGACAUUGCAUACGAGUACGGGCAGGCUUGAGUUCGGGUAGGGGAGAACUGGAAUUCCUGGUGGUAGCGGUGAAAUGCGCAGAUAUCAGGAGGAACACCGGUGGCGAAGGCGGGUCUCUGGGCCGAUACUGACGCUGAGGAGCGAAAGCGUGGGGAGCGAACAGG
rnacentral:rRNA from 1 species